rnacentral:rRNA from 1 species
AACGAACGCUGGCGGCAGGCUUAACACAUGCAAGUCGAGCGCCCCGCAAGGGGAGCGGCAGACGGGUGAGUAACGCGUGGGAAUCUACCCAUCUCUACGGAAUAACGCAUGGAAACGUGUGCUAAUACCGUAUACGUCCUUCGGGAGAAAGACUUAUCGGAGAUGGAUGAGCCCGCGGUGGAUUAGCUAGUUGGUGGGGUAAAGGCCUACCAAGGCGACGAUCCAUAGCUGGUCUGAGAGGAUGAUCAGCCACACUGGGACUGAGACACGGCCCAGACUCCUACGGGAGGCAGCAGUGGGGAAUAUUGGACAAUGGGCGCAAGCCUGAUCCAGCCAUGCCGCGUGAGUGAUGAAGGCCCUAGGGUUGUAAAGCUCUUUCACCGGUGAAGAUAAUGACGGUAACCGGAGAAGAAGCCCCGGCUAACUUCGUGCCAGCCGCCGCCGUAAUAC